rnacentral:rRNA from 1 species
CCUACGGGGGGCUGCAGUGAGGAAUAUUGGUCAAUGGGCGCAAGCCUGAACCAGCCAAGUCGCGUGAGGGAUGACGGUCCUAUGGAUUGUAAACCUCUUUUGUCGGGGAGCAAGGCCCGCCACGUGUGGCGGGAAGGAGAGUACCCGAAGAAAAAGCAUCGGCUAACUACGUGCCAGCAGCCGCGGUAAUACGUAGGGGGCAAGCGUUAUCCGGAUUUACUGGGUGUACAGGGAGCGUAGACGGUUAAUCAAGUCAGAAGUGAACACCCAGGGCUCAACCUUGGGACUGCUUUUGAAACUGAGUAGCUAGAGUGCAGGAGAGGUAAGCGGAAUUCCUAGUGUAGCGGUGAAAUGCGUAGAUAUUAGGAGGAACACCAGUGGCGAAGGCGGCUUACUGGACUGUAACUGACGUUGAGGCUCGAAAGCGUGGGGAGCAAACAGGAUUAGAUACCCGUGUAGUC